rnacentral:rRNA from 1 species
AUUGAACGCUGGCGGCAGGCCUAACACAUGCAAGUCGAGCGGAUGAAGGGAGCUUGCUCCUGGAUUCAGCGGCGGACGGGUGAGUAAUGCCUAGGAAUCUGCCUGGUAGUGGGGGAUAACGUCCGGAAACGGGCGCUAAUACCGCAUACGUCCUGAGGGAGAAAGUGGGGGAUCUUCGGACCUCCCGCUAUCAGAUGAGCCUAGGUCGGAUUAGCUAGUUGGUGGGGUAAAGGCCUACCAAGGCGACGAUCCGUAACUGGUCUGAGAGGAUGAUCAGUCACACUGGAGCUGAGACACGGUCCAGACUCCUACGGGAGGCAGCAGUGGGGAAUAUUGGACAAUGGGCGAAAGCCUGAUCCAGCCAUGCCGCGUGUGUGAAGAAGGUCUUCGGAUUGUAAAGCACUUUAAGUUGGGAGGAAGGGCAGUAAGUUAAUACCUUGCUGUUUUGACGUUACCAACAGAAUAAGCACCGGCUAACUUCGUG